rnacentral:rRNA from 1 species
CCAGCCACACUGGAACUGAGACACGGUCCAGACUCCUACGGGAGGCAGCAGUGGGGAAUAUUGCACAAUGGGCGCAAGCCUGAUGCAGCCAUGCCGCGUGUAUGAAGAAGGCCUUCGGGUUGUAAAGUACUUUCAGCGGGGAGGAAGGGAGUAAAGUUAAUACCUUUGCUCAUUGACGUUACCCGCAGAAGAAGCGCCGACUAACUCCGUGGCAGCAACCGCGGUAAUACGGAGGGUGCAAGCGUUAAUCGGAAUUCCUGGGCGUAAAGCGCACGCAGGCGGUUUGUUAAGUCAGAUGUGAAAUCACCGGGCUCAACCUGGGAACUGCAUCUGAUACUGGCAAGCUUGAGUCUCGUAGAGGGGGGUAGAAUUCCAGGUGUAGCGGUGAAAUGCGUAGAGAUCUGGAGGAAUCCCGGUGGCGAAGGCGGCCCCCUGGACGAAGACUGACGCUCAGGUGCGAAAGCGUGGGGAGCAAACAGGAUUAGAUAUCCUGGUAGUCCGCGCCGUAAACGAUGUCGACUUGGAGGUU